GACGAACGCUGGCGGCGUGCUUAACACAUGCAAGUCGAACGGAAAGGCCCUGCUUUUGUGGGGUGCUCGAGUGGCGAACGGGUGAGUAACACGUGAGUAACCUGCCCUUGACUUUGGGAUAACUUCAGGAAACUGGGGCUAAUACCGGAUAGGAGCUCCUGCUGCAUGGUGGGGGUUGGAAAGUUUCGGCGGUUGGGGAUGGACUCGCGGCUUAUCAGCUUGUUGGUGGGGUAGUGGCUUACCAAGGCUUUGACGGGUAGCCGGCCUGGGAGGGUGACCGGCCACAUUGGGCCUGGGAUACGGCCCAGACUCGUACGGGAGGCAGCAGUGGGGAAUAUUGCACAAUGGGCGGAAGCCUGAUGCAGCAACGCCGCGUGCGGGAUGACGGCCUUCGGGUUGUAAACCGCUUUCGCCUGUGACGAAGCGUGAGUGACGGUAAUGGGUAAAGAAGCACCGGCUAACUACGUG
rnacentral:rRNA from 1 species